GAUGGUUUUAAUUAAUGGGGUUAUCAAUAUAAUUAUUAGAUUGUUAAUAAUUUCUAAAACCUGUUGUUUGUUUAUUUACGACUUUUGGUUUGAGUAAUCAUUUUGACUAUUACACAAGAAUCUUUCACAAUCUCAGGAAAAAAAGGUACAAAAGCUGUCAGUGGAGGGGUCCUCUUAUAAUCUCCCCUUAUUACUUUCUGAAAGGUUGCCACCGUGACAGCUUUUGUACCUUUUUUUCUGAGAAUUACAGUCUGAUGUUUCUUAUCGGGCAUUUUUGGUAUGUAAGAUUCACAUGUUAAAUAUUCAGACAAAAUGAAAGUGAAAGCUUUUUUGUUUGUUUUUUAAUCUCCGGAAAGCAUCUUAUAUCUCUGUAUGACUGUCUUUGUGACGUAUCUGUGACAUCUCUUCUGUUUUCUCGUCAGGUUCAAACGCUUGAAUCUGCUGCUGCUGCUGUGCCAGUUCAGUUACAGCGGUCAGUAUUCACUCAUUUUAGUUAAUAAAUUGUAACAAUUUUUGAUUUUCAUUGUCAGGUAGAGUUACUCUAGUUGAUUGUUUCUCUGAUGAGUUAAUUUAUUUGUUCAGGUAAUUCAUCUGAUACUAUUGUCAUCAACUAUUUUAAAUAUAAAAAUGAGGGUCAUCAACAUUUUAAAUAUAAAAAUAGAGGCAUAGAUAAUAUUAUUGGCUCCUUAAUGCUUUCACUGAUAUAUUUUUAUAUUAUUAUGAUUAUCCAGUCGACUAAAAUAACUAUUUUUUAUGAUACACAGAGAUAAAAGCCACAUGUAUUUUUCAGUAUUGAUACUUUGUAAUUAAUGAAUAUUAUACUGUAUGUAUUUGCAGGAUCCAUCACUAGAUCUGUGAAAGGAAUAAAGGGAGGCAACGCCACCCUGUCAUGUCAAUUUGAAGCCAAAGACAUUCAUUACAUUGAUUUAAGCAGGUUAACAAGCAUCCUUUCUUGUCAGAAUGAAGAAUGUGAGAGUGAAAGUGAAAGUCAGAAUGGGAGAGUAUUUAAAACAGGAUCAUGUGCCGUGAUUAUCAAGAAUCUGAGACUGAGUGAUGCUGGGAAAUACAUUUUAAGAGUCUAUUACACUAAUACUCAGGCAGAAGUGAAGCGUCAAAUCAUGACAUACCGACUUCAUUUUCAGGAUGAGAUUGCAGUGAAGGAAGGGGCGGAGCUGAAGUUGGAUGUUCUGUUGCCCAAUGCUUAUAAAGUAGUGCACUGGACCAAAAGAAGCACAGGACGGAAGGAGGACUGGAAUAGAAGCCUUGGGGUCAGAAGUGAUCGAAUGACCAUCAGAGAUGGAAACCUGAUUAUUAAUAAUUUUACAGCCACUGACGCAGGAACAUAUGAGGUUCUGGACACUGUGGGAGAAAUCCUGAUGAUGGUGACUGUCACAGAAUCAAAGGACAAAAUGAACCACAUAAAUGAUGACAAACAGCAACAUAGUAAGUAAAACAAGAGGCAUUGAGAGCUUUACAAAAUCUUUGAGUUUAUUGAUGAAUUAAUUAAUGUUCUCUCUUCCCAGCUUCCUCUCUUCCACCUGAAGCAUACUGGAUUGUCGCAGUUGAACUGUCAGUGGUUUUGGUGAUUCUGGUUGCUUUAAAAGGAAAAAGGAUGCACAGAUGUUCAGGGGCACAGCUGCACAUUUACUGAGGGGUCUGCAAGAUCAUAGUUGGUGCUCCCCAGUGUUGUGACCCCCGCCAAAAAAUAAAAAAAUAAUAAUUAUAACAAUUACAAUACAUUAAUAAUAUUAAUAAAUAGCUGUCGUUUUGACCAUUGUUUUAAUAAGCCACCAACAUUUUAAUUUCAGCAUUCUUGAUUCCAAUUUUGAUACCGCAGAAAAAUUUGUGAUUGUAAUUUGUUUCAUCAUAAGCCAUAGCUAUGCAUGAAUAUACACAAAUGCAGCCAAGGUGAAUGAAUGCAUAAGUUAAUUAAAUAAUUAUAUUUUUUACUGAUAACAAUAGGAAACAUGAAUAAAGGAGUAAAACAAUGAAUAAAAGUAAGCAUCACAAUAAAUACACACAUAUACAAGUCAACAACACAUGAAACAAAACUUCAUUCAAACUUAUUUUUCUAAUAAUCACUAAGACAGGAUUCAGGUCUCCUCUGUGAUUUAUGUGCUCAAAACUGAAUUAAAAUGUGGAGGUAGUUGCUGCUAACUUGCUUUUUAUCAACACAAAUCAUCCUCAGUUUAUUAACAGUAGAUUACUAAUGGAUACAUGAAAUACUGCAUGUUUAGUUUCUUUAUGUAGAUUUGUUUAUUUACAUUAAUCUACAGCAGUGUUGACAACAGUAAUCCUACUAGCACACAUAAGCUAGCACCUUUAUUUUUAAGAGUGUAAAGGGAAUAAAUAAAAAUAAAAAUAAAUUUCAGUGAUUUCUCUCACAGUUAUAUCAUUGGCUAAUCAUGUCCCUUUAGUGGCUCCGUUUUAUGUUUUAUGGUGCGUAUUUUUAAACACCUCUUACCAUAAUUUAUUUAUUCUCAGGUCAGGUAAAGUCAAAUCUUUCAUAUAUCAUAAGCAUCUGAGUUUUCUUAGGUCACAGAAGUCUUCACCGUGGUCUGUUUGGCUCAAGUUUAGAAAUCAGAGACUUCUGGCAGGCAAGCUUCUUGGUUUUAAUUGCAUAUAUUUUUAUUGACUACUUCACAAACAAAAUACUAGAAUGAAACCAAAGCAAUGGAUGAUGACCAAAAGUGUAGAAAAUAUAACAGAAAGCAUGAGGAGUCAACAAUAUUUUGCCACAUUUUAACAUUUCAAAAGAUUCAAAUAUUGAUGGCAGUAGUUCAGAGUUAUAGCAGAUGUGGCAUUGCAUUCGUAGUGAAUUCCUGAACAACAUUAAAUGAAUAAAAGAACUAACAUGUUGGAGAAGGGGUGGGUAAUAUGACCAGAAUCUUAUAUCACAAAAUGAGUAUUGUAUUUCACAAGAACAUGAAUCUCUAACUAAUUAUUUAUUUUCCAGUUACGUGUUUUAGUUUGAAUCGGACAGGUAUAACGAUUUUGCUUUAUAAAUGUAUUAAUUUAAUUUAAACUGUAUUUGAUCAAAUUCAGUUGGACCAACAUUUCACUGCAGUACUAAUUAAAACUAGAUAUCAUCAUACACUAAAUGACUGAAGAUCACACACACCUAGGAGACACAUCCCUUACGAAAAAAGGAAACAAUGUGUGUUCUAGAAUCGGCUCAAAAUAUCAAACAUGUUUGAUCUCCUCCGUCUGGAUGGAAUCUGAGUCUGAAGAUUUUUGAAUUUUGUUUGUAUUUUUAUAUUAAUUAAAUAUAUUUACUAUUUCCUUUUACUAAAUUCAGAAAAAUAAUACUUUAUAGAUAAUAUUAUGAUAAAAUAUAGAUGUUAAAUUAGUUCACAUCUGCUGCUCAAACUGUUGAGAUCAGACUGAAAUCAUCAGAGAUAUUCUUCAGAAUAAACUUCAGCUGACUGUAUCUGGACUCACACACUGUUUUUUAGUUCAAAUUUCUAUAUAAGGUAUUAGAUCUCACAUCUUCU
rnacentral:lncRNA from 1 species